rnacentral:lncRNA from 1 species
CGGCGGCGCGGGAGCGGGAGGCAGCGGCAGCCCGGAUCCCCUGAGGACCCCGGGGAUCUGCCACUGCGCCGAGACCCGGCCGAACCCUCCGGGCCCCUGGGCCCGUCCUGGGCAGGCCCGCCCCGGGCCCCGCUCGCGCGCGAGGGGAGCCUCACAGGAGCCAGAGCCCGACCGCCGCGACGCCAGGCGCCGGCCCCGGCAGGAGGUCUGCUGGGAAUCAGCCCAGGUGGGGGCGGCAGACCUACUUCUCCCUGUAGUUGGUGAGUGGCAGGAGCAGCAGGAGCUAGGACCAAGGACAAGUGGGAGCUGGGAGCCCCAGAAUCGUGUCACCACAUUUGUUCCCUGACUUCCACUGGAUGGUUAGGAUGGAACCACCCCCCUUGCAGUCACCAAAGGUACAGUCAUGCCACCUGGGCCCCACUGAUUCCCACUGGAUUCCAGGGCCUGGGCUGGACCUGGCAGUAGGAUUUCUGAAAUGUCCCGGAGAGUCAACUGCGUAGCCAGGGCUGAGAAGACUGAGCUAGCGGCGGAGACAGCCCCUAGACAGCAAAGCCUGGUCCUCACAUUCAAAUGACCCCAGAUGUCAGCAGGGAGGCAGCUGGCUUCCU